rnacentral:rRNA from 1 species
AGGACUAACGCUGGCGGCGUGCCUAACACAUGCAAGUCGAACGAGGUAGCAAUACCUAGUGGCAGACGGGUGAGUAACGCGUGGUCAACCUACCUCUUAGUGGGGGAUAACUAGCCGAAAGGUUAGCUAAUACCGCAUACGAUCGUCGCGAGGCAUCUCGUGACGAUGAAAGGAGCAAUUCGCUAAGAGAGGGGACUGCGUCCCAUUAGUUAGUUGGUGGGGUAAUGGCCCACCAAGACUCCGAUGGGUAGCUGGCUUGAGAGAGCGACCAGCCACACUGGAACUGAGACACGGUCCAGACUCCUACGGGAGGCAGCAGUGAGGAAUUUUCCGCAAUGGGCGCAAGCCUGACGGAGCGACGCCGCGUGUGGGAAGAAGGCCUUCGGGUCGUAAACCACUGUCGAAGGGGACGAUAUUGACGGUACCCUUGGAGGAAGCCCCGGCUAACUACGUGCCAGCAGCCGC